CUGCCUGUAAGAUGGGGAUAACUCCGGGAAACCGGAGCUAAUACCGAAUAACACUUUCGCUCGCAUGAGCGGAUGUUAAAAGACGGUUUCGGCUGUCACUUACAGAUGGACCCGCGGCGCAUUAGCUAGUUGGUGAGGUAACGGCUCACCAAGGCGACGAUGCGUAGCCGACCUGAGAGGGUGAUCGGCCACACUGGGACUGACACACGGCCCAGACUCCUACGGGAGGCAGCAGUAGGGAAUCUUCCGCAAUGGACGAAAGUCUGACGGAGCAACGCCGCGUGAGUGAUGAAGGUUUUCGGAUCGUAAAACUCUGUUGUUAGUGGAAGAACAAGUAUGAGAGUAACUGCUCGUACCUUGACGGUACCUAACCAGAAAGCCACGGCUAACUACGUGCCAGCAGCCGCGGUAAUACGUAGGUGGCAAGCGUUGUCCGGAAUUAUUGGGCGUAGAGCGCGCGCAGGCGGUUCCUUAAGUCUGAUGUGAAAGCC
rnacentral:rRNA from 1 species